AGAGCCUGAAUCAGUGUGUGUGUUAGUGGAAGCGUCUGGAAAGGCGCGCGAUACAGGGUGACAGCCCCGUACACAAAAAUGCACAUACUGUGAGCUCGAUGAGUAGGGCGGGACACGUGGUAUCCUGUCUGAAUAUGGGGGGACCAUCCUCCAAGGCUAAAUACUCCUGACUGACCGAUAGUGAACCAGUACCGUGAGGGAAAGGCGAAAAGAACCCCGGCGAGGGGAGUGAAAAAGAACCUGAAACCGUGUACGUACAAGCAGUGGGAGCCUCUUAAUGGGGUGACUGCGUACCUUUUGUAUAAUGGGUCAGCGACUUAUAUUCUGUAGCAAGGUUAACCGAAUAGGGGAGCCGAAGGGAAACCGAGUCUUAACUGGGCGUUAAGUUGCAGGGUAUAGACCCGAAACCCGGUGAUCUAGCCAUGGGCAGGUUGAAGGUUGGGUAACACUAACUGGAGGACCGAACCGACUAAUGUUGAAAAAUUAGCGGAUGACUUGUGGCUGGGGGUGAAAGGCCAAUCAAACCGGGAGAUAGCUGGUUCUCCCCGAAAGCUAUUUAGGUAGCGCCUCGUGAAUUCAUCUCCGGGGGUAGAGCACUGUUUCGGCAAGGGGGUCAUCCCGACUUACCAACCCGAUGCAAACUGCGAAUACCGGAGAAUGUUAUCACGGGAGACACACGGCGGGUGCUAACGUCCGUCGUGAAGAGGGAAACAACCCAGACCGCCAGCUAAGGUCCCAAAGUCAUGGUUAAGUGGGAAACGAUGUGGGAAGGCCCAGACAGCCAGGAUGUUGGCUUAGAAGCAGCCAUCAUUUAAAGAAAGCGUAAUAGCUCACUGGUCGAGUCGGCCUGCGCGGAAGAUGUAACGGGGCUAAACCAUGCACCGAAGCUGCGGCAGCGACACUAUGUGUUGUUGGGUAGGGGAGCGUUCUGUAAGCCUG
rnacentral:rRNA from 1 species